rnacentral:rRNA from 1 species
AUGCCUCGAGUUCCAAUGUCCCUGUUUCUUCGCCUCCUUCGCGCCAAUGGCCGUGGCCACCGCUUCGUCGCUCGCCACCGCCGCCAUGGUGUUGGCGGACACCGCCGAUUCCAGCGUCAUGUGCGCGACCUCCGCCGCUUCCGGCGUGGAGGUUGGAACCAGCGCCGCCAGAACCUCCGUCGCAACCACCGGCACGGCGCGGGGCCCUCGAACCAGCCCGUGCAGCCCGAUGUGCCCGCCCGGCUUCUCGCCGGUCUGGCUGCACCAAGGCUCGAGGCCGAUGGGGGCAUCGAUCCGGCACUGGCGGCUCCGCCGCCGCCGUUUUGGUGCUCAGCGCAUGGAUGGGUAGUUUGA